rnacentral:rRNA from 1 species
GACGAAGGAUGCAAGCGUUAUCCGGAUUCAUUGGGUUUAAAGGGAGCGUAGGCGGCCCUGUAAGUCAGUGGUGAAAUCUCGCAGCUUAACUGCGAAAUUGCCAAUUGAUACUGCAGGGCUUGAGUACCAGUUGCUGUGGGCGGAAUAUGACAUGUAGUGGUGAAAUACAUAGAGAUGUCAUAGAACACCGAUUGCGAAGGCAGCUCACAAACUGUAACUGACGCUGAGGCUCGAAAGUGCGGGGAUCAAACGG